CCAGGAGGCCGGCAGCGUUUCUGUGGUUCUGGUUUGCGUUCUGCUCACGUUGAUCGCUUUGGUCACAGCUGGCAUUGUCAUUGUUAUCGGGAGAAGAUGGAACCAACAUAAAAUCUCUCAGCAGCAUCAGCAGCAGCAGCAGCAGGAG